ensembl:Y_RNA Y_RNA Y RNA
GGCUGUCUGAAUAUAGUGUGUUAUCUCAACUGAUUGUACAUAGUUACAGAUUGAACUCCAUGUUCUAUUCUUCCCCCGCUUCUCACUACUGCACUUGACUAGUCUUUA